ACGACAGCGGGACGACUCUGAAAUUUGUCUCUCUCCUUCCAAUUCUUCACUCCUACUCUCGGACAGGGUCCCGCGGCACAAUAACUCAUCUUUGAGGCCGAACAAUGGCUUUCUUCUCCAUCUUGUGCUCCUCCUCUGCAUCUCUUCAUCUCUCUCUCCCUGCAUCUCUUGUUUUGGAGCUCCCAGUGACAUCCCUGCCAUGUUUCUCUCCAGAUGUCGGUCUUUCCCUUUGCUCGUUCUACAGCUGUCAGUCAAGACCGUGUGCUUCUCAUUUGGGAUUCAGCUGAUGGUGCAUUUUGAUUGGUCCUGCUGUCAAUGUCGAACCCAAUGUCAACAGUGCGGUCAUGCUCUGUGAUUUCCAUCCGCAUGCAACAAACAUCCUUUGCCUAAUGUGCUCCCAUCAGUACCUAAACCAAGUGAAGAAGGAGAGAAGGAUUUGUAACCCUAGAAACAAAUG